rnacentral:rRNA from 1 species
GCUUGUCUUAAAGAUUAAGCCAUGCAUGUCUAAGUAUAAGCACUUGUACUGCGAGACUGCGAAUGGCUCAUUAAAUCAGUUAUAGUUUAUUUGAUUGUGUCUUUCUACACGGAUAACUGUGGAAAACUGGAGCUAAUACGUGCAAAAGAGGGCGACUUUCGGGAAGUCCUGUAUUUAUUAGAUAAAAAACCAAUACGGCAGCGAUGUCGUUCCAAUGGUGAAUCAUAAUAACUCAUUCGGAUCGCAUUCCCUUUGUGGCUAGAGAGACGGCUACUAUUCCUAAGGGAAGCAGCAGGCGCGUAAAUUACCCAAUGUUAAUGUUUUAACGAGGUAGUGACAAUAAAUAACAAUAGAGGUAUCUAUAUGGUACUUCUAAUUGGAAUGAGUACAAUUUAAACCCCUUAACAAGGAACAAUAAGAGGGCAAGUCUGGUGCCAGCAGCCGCGGUAAUUCCAGCUCUUAGAGCGUAUAUUAAAGUUGUUGCAGUUAAAAAGCUCGUAGUCGGAUUGAUGUUUGGAUGGUAAUAGUGCGUACGGAAGUAUGUCGUUGUUACCUUUAGACUUUUCGAAGGGUUUGCGAACUAUUUGUCAUUAACUUGAUGAAAAGACCUCGUCCCUUCCUUUUACUUUGAAAAAAUUAGAGUGUUUAAAGCAGGCAAUUCAAACGCCUUGAAUAUUAUAGCAUGGGAUAAUGGAAGAUGACUCGCUCAUUAUUUUGUUGGUUUCUAUUGGGUGGGUAAUGAUCAAUAGAGAUAGUUGGGGUGAUUGAUAUUUCAUUGUCAGAGGUGAAAUUCUUGGAUUUAUGAAAGAUCAACUAAUGCGAAAGCAUCUCACAAGGAUGUUUUCAUUGAUCAAGAACGAAAGUUUGGGGAUCGAAUUAGAUCAGAGACCUAAGUAGUCCAAACUGUAAACUAUGCCAAUCAGAGAUGAGAGGAUGACCUUAAAUAAUGUCUUCUUUCGGAUCUUGUGAGAAAUCAUUGAAUUUCUGGGUUCCGGGGGGAGUAUGGUCGCAAGGCUGAAACUUAAAGGAAUUGACGGAAGGGCACACCAGGAGUGGAGCCUG